rnacentral:siRNA from 1 species
AUAUACUAGAUUUUGACCCGCGGU